rnacentral:rRNA from 1 species
AAUAGAUACCCUGGUAGUCCUAGCCGUAAACGAUACUCGCUAGGUGUCGGCCACGGUGCGACCGUUGUCGGUGCCGUAGGGAAGCCGUGAAGCGAGCCACCUGGGAAGUACGGCCGCAAGGCUGAAACUUAAAGGAAUUGGCGGGGGGAGCACCACAACGGGUGGAGCUUGCGGUUUAAUUGGAUUCAACGCCGGAAAUCUUACCGGGACCGACAGCAAUAUGAAGGCCAGGCUGAAGACUUUGCCGGAUUAGCUGAGAGGUGGUGCAUGGCCGUCGUCAGUUCGUACUGUGAAGCAUCCUGUUAAGUCAGGCAACGAGCGAGACCCACGCCCACAGUUGCCAGCGUACUCUCUGGAGUGACGGGUACACUGUGGGGACCGCCGCUGCUAAAGCGGAGGAAGGAAUGGGCAACGGUAGGUCAGUAUGCCCCGAAUAUCCCGGGCUACACGCGAGCUACAAUGGUUGGUACAAUGGGUAUCUACCCCGAAAGGGGACGGGAAUCUCCUAAAACCAAUCUUAGUUCGGAUUGAGGGCUGCAACUCGCCCUCA